UUAGGAACAGGAGCCAUUGUAGAGUGCAGGACCAUCGGAGCCAUUUUGUCUGGUAGAGAACUCUAUCAAGGACAUUGUCAUAAAGAUUACAUAAGUAUUCGCCAAGUGCUAAAAUCUGCAGAAGGCGGGAACAGCAUUUGGCCGAAUCCCGUUGGAAUCUGGGAUGCAAUGGCUUGGCAGCAAAGGACUGCGGAACUGGCAGGUUGAGGUUUUCAUUAAGAAAGGCAACUCUCAGCCAGGCAUGGUAGCACGCCUGCCUGUAACCGCGGACUCUGGAAGGCUGAGGAGGGGGAUCCCAGCUUCAAGCCCAGCCUGGGCAACUUAGUGACAUGGCAGGAUCCUGCCUCACCAAGAAAGAAUAAAAAGUGUCUGGUGAUGUAGCUCAGUCUGCAGGCCCUGGGUCCAAUGCCCAGUACUGAAAAGAGAAGAGAAGAGAAAAGAGAGAGAAAGACUAUUAGUAGAGUGGAGUGGGGCUGUUGUGAUAGGCUAUGUAAGAACUGGUAAGAGCUGGGUGUGGUGGCACAAACCUGUAAUCCCAGCACUCGAGAGGCUGAGGCAGGAGGAUCACCUUGAGUUCGAGGCCAGCCUGAACUACAUUGCAAGACCUUGUGUCAACAACUACAAAAAGAAAAAAAAAUCGAACUUUAAGGGCUGGGGAUGUAGCUCAGUGGUGCUGUAGCUCAGUGGUGCUGUGCCUGAUUUGCAAGGCCAAGGUCCUGAGUUCGAUCUCUGGUACAGGGAGGCAGGGGAGAACAGAUAAGAAGAAGGGUAUCAGUGUGAGUGUAAGAAAAAGACGUGUUAGGGCCGGGGAUUUAGCUCAGUGGUUUUGCUGCCUGCCGUGCAAGCACAAGGACCCAAGUUCAAUCCCCAGGACCAAAAAAAAAGAAAAGAAAAAAGACAUAUUUGAGAGAGGUUUCAGAAGCAGGACUGAUAUAGUUAUAGGGGCAGAAUUUCCAGAGAGAUAAAUAAGGACUUAUUACAAACAGCCUGGGUUGAGCAUAUAGCUUAGGUGCAUGGCAGUAAUGAGGACCCUGAAGAACCGUGGACUCAUCCGCCUGUUGCCAGUCUCCUGGGACGGCUUUAUCCCGCUUCCCCUGCCGCACAGGGAGCCCCGGUGCUGAGUUUGCUUCUCCGUUGAAAGCGUAUCAGAACACACACGUUUCAAACAGGAAGAUGGCUGAAGAAGAAGCUGGGCAGGACCUUGUUAAAAUCUUCAGACUUAAGAAUGUCCUGUGACCUGCCGUCUUUGGGAUCUUACAGUUGGCCUGUGUGUUAGAGCACAGGCAUGCAAAAUUUGUAUGGGGAAAUCUUCCCUUUGCACAGGGCUCUACUUCCACAGUGUAUUCCACUGAGACAGCCGCCUUUCAGAUUUAUUAAGAAUACAUCAAUAGGGCCGGGGAUUUAGCUCAGUGGUUCCGCCGCCUUCCUUGAAGCAGGAAGUCCUGAAUUCGAUCCCUGGUACCAAAAAAAAAAGAAUACAUCAAUAUUCCCCUCGAGUCAUCCGAUUAUUAGAGCAGGAAGAGAGAACACCUAGAUUCAAACUCACUUUUGUUCUGAUAAAACUUACCCAAACUCCACUGAAAAUAGCAUUUUAGAGAGAUUUUCUGCAGAAUGCAGUUCGUUUCCCUUGUCUAGGCACCCUAAACCUAACUUUAGGCAAGCCAGUCAUCAGCAGGCUCCUAUGUGGAUGGUGCUGUUUUGAUGUUCUGCACCAUUGCUUGGAGGAUUUCCUGUGGAAUUUUAACAGGUGACUUCAGCAGUUGCAGUUUUGGGGAACAGUGAGGAUGAAAGCCCUGUUGGUAUGGGCUGAAGGAUGGGAUUUUAGAUGAAUGCACACAACUCUUGAGAGAGAAUUGCAGUAAGGGUAAGGAGAGUCCUGGAAAAGAGAUCAAGAAAGGUUUGUUGCUUUGCUUUGCUUUGCUGUGUUGUCCUUUCAGGGUGAGAAGUGCGCCCAUGCCCAGACCUGAUGAAUGGACUCAGAGGUGGGGAGAACAGCACUGAACGCCAGGCUUCAACUCGGCCUUUCGAGACUGGGUGUCCAAGGACAGCCACAUGCAGGAGUCACAGGGACACAGGAAACAUUCCUCUACAGAUGCAAAGAGGAGAAGGGAAGGAAACGCUGAAGAUGUAGGAAUGAAGACAGACUUGCCCGCGCUGUUCUUUCCGAAGUCACAUGAAGAAGAAACCCCAAGGAGAGAAGAAGGUGUAAUGCGCUGCUGUUCAGGGCAGUGGUCUGUGCUUGCCAUUAGAGACAGUCCCUUCUCAUAAUCAUCCUUUUCUACAGAAAAGGAAGCACUAAGAGAAGAAUGAAGAGAGCAGCCCUUCGGUGAGAGGAGUCCCGUUAGAUGAUCACAUGAUGGAGAGCAAGGAAAGAGCUCUAAGUGUUCACUGCAGCUGCAGUCCCCAUCUUUGCCUGUGCACUUUAUCCCACCCUAGACUCAUCACGCUCUUUCAAUGAGAUGAGUUUGUGCCUUUCAGGAAGGAGAGACUUGAGCAUGUACAAUGUGGCUUUGCAGCUUAAGCCUUUUUCUUUCUCAUAUAAAAGUAAUAUUUCAGUUUUUUAUUGGUACCGGUCAUAAAAAUUACACUUCUCCCCAGGCACUUAAAAUGCAUGAUUUACUAUGAGACACAGCUCAAUUAACUAGUCAGUGUCCUUUAGGCAGUGUGCUUUGUAUUGCUUCAUUCUUUCUGAGACAGGGUCUCACUGCGUAGUUUGGGCUGGCCUCAAACUCACCAUGAGCCUCCUGCCUCAGCCUCCCAGAGGCUGGGCUUACAGUGUCUUGCUUCAUUUUAAAAUAUUGUCCCUUCCUGUAUUUUCAUCUUCUCCCCUCAGCAUUAUUCUCAGGUUACUGAUGGAGCAGUAUAGAAAGGAGAUUUAUCAUGGGGAACUGGCUCAUGUGAUCAGAAGGACAAGAAGUCUCACAAAUUGCCGCUGUAAUCCGGAGACCCACGAACGUCAGUGGUGAGAUUCAGCCCAAGUCCUUAGGUCUGAGAUCGAGAAGAGCUGACAGCACAAGCAGAUGACAGACGGGAAAAGCUCCCUGGUUCUUCCCCAUCUUGUCCAUUCCGACUGUCAAGGCACUGGCCAGUGGCCUCCACGUAGAGAGGGCAGCGUACUUUACUGAGUCCCGCUUCAGAGGCCAACCACGUCAGGAGGCUCCCUCACCAGCACCUUCAGAAAUAGUGCUUCACCUGCACACCCGGGGCCCUGCCAAGCUGCCACAUGAAUGAGCCACCCAGUCCGUAAGGCCUUCCUUCACACAGCCACAGAAUUUCUACUUCUAAUGUUUCUGUUAUACAAUAAACCCUACUUCAUGUUCGGGUUGUCCUAAUUAGCAAAUGGUUUUAGAAAACAAAAGGAAAUGAGGUAGG